UGCUGAGUGGAAUGUACAGUGAUGGUUCCUUUAUUGAAUGUGUUGGGAAACAUUACAAUUUUACCUCUGUUUCAGCCUGUCCACCACUGGUAAUGCAGAUUUUGAGCGGGAUAUGCUUGAAAGCUCAUUGAUUGAGUUACUAUUGCUAGAAGAAGGAGCCGUGAAGAAGAAAUUUGAGAUCGCCACUGGAGCACUGUCUCUGUCUGCUUUUAUUGGCUCGGCUAAACAUUACAGGGAGAAAACAGAUGUGAAGCAGAGAUGACUUGAAAGAGCAGAUGCUGCCUGACCUGCUGAGUGUUCCCAGCGACUUCUGCAGCAUUUUGCUUGUAUUCUUGUCGUUUUGUUUAAAGGUUGGAAUCACAUUUUGGGCUGCGUUAGCUGAUCUCAACCAGGCAGAGGUUGUGGGGUUAUAAUAAACUUCAGUAAUCCAGGGUUGGAACGGGCAAAAUCAACAGAUUUGCACCCUUGAUCGUGACUAAGAGAAGGCUGCUGGAAGUGUGUGAAUGGCAUGUGAGAAGACGAUGAGACUUGGCUGUGAUUUAUCCCCUGCCAAUGAUUGCCUUCAAGGCUUUCGCACGCAUGGAUAAAUUGGGUGAUGUACCAUUGGUUACUUGGAUGAGGUGUAUCAGAGAUCAAAAAUUCCUGAUGAGAUAAGCGAAGGGCAAAUUGUGAAUCCCAAAUUGGCAAUGUCCUCAAAAAACAGCUCAGUCACCAAAAUCCCACAAUCCAUCAUCUUAAUAAAAAAUGCAAAAAUAGUGAUGGGAACUUGUGACGGGUAAAUUAAGUUUGUGUUUUUGUUCUCUGUAAUAUAUUUCCACAGUCAAUAACAAAAGCCAACUGGCAUAAAAGAGAUUUAACUUCUUUACCAAAUAUAAAGUGCUUUAUCACAUUCUUUGAAGCAGUGUUGUACUUUACUCUGUGUACUUUCUUUAAAGUAGAACCAGUAAUGUGCCAGAUUUGUGUUGAAUUUUUGACCCAUACAGUAUAUGUUUCUCCAGAAAAACAUCAUAUUCUGUAUUAUUACAGUUCUGUUGACAAUGCAAUAAAAUUUCUGUAUAGCAGUUGAAAAUACAAUUUUAAAUAAACAAAUGCAAUAUAUACAGCACUGGUACAAUAUAAAUCUGUGGCUUAUAAAUGAGGCUUAUCAAUAAUCGAUUUUACUCGAACAAUGUAUUGAAAAUAAAAAGGCAUAGGAAGUGAGCAUUAUAUCUGAUCUGUUAUAUAUUUGCUUAUUUGUUUGCCUACAAAAUACCCAGUCCCUGCUUUAUAUACAUUAAAUUAUGUGAAGCACCUUUAGACAUCUUCCUCACAUGAAAGACGCUAA